CAAUACUUAGUGGCAGACGGGUGAGUAACAUGUAGGUAUCUGCCCUUUGGCCUGGAAUAACACGAGGAAACUUGUGCUAAUACCGGAUAAGUCUUUACGGAGAAAGCUUUAUGCACCAUUGGAUGAGCCUGCACUUGAUUAGUUUGUUGGUGGGGUAAUGGCCUACCAAGACUGUGAUCAAUAGCUGAUUUGAGAGGAUGAUCAGCCACAUUGGGACUGAGACACGGCCCAAACUCCUACGGGAGGCAGCAGUGGGGAAUCUUGCACAAUGGAGGAAACUCUGAUGCAGCGAUGCCGCGUGAGUGAAGAAGGCCCUUGGGUUGUAAAGCUCUUUCGUCGGGGAAGAAAAUGACUGUACCCGAAUAAGAAGGUCCGGCUAACUUCGUGCCAGCAGCCGCGGUAAUACGAAGGGACCUAGCGUAGUUCGGAAUUACUGGGCUUAAAGAGUUCGUAGGUGGUUGAAAAAGUUAGUGGUGAAAUCCCAGAGCUUAACUCUGGAACUGCCAUUAAAACUUUUCAGCUAGAGUAUGAUAGAGGAAAGCAGAAUCUCUAGUGUAGAGGUGAAAUUCGUAGAUAUUAGAAAGAAUACCAAUUGCGAAGGCAGCUUUCUGGAUCAUUACUGACACUGAGGAACGAAAGCAUGGGUAGCGAAGAGGAUUAGAUACCCUCGUAGUCCAUGCCGUAAACGAUGUGUGUUAGACGUUGGAAAUUUAUUUUCAGUGUCGCAGGGAAACCGAUAAACAC
rnacentral:rRNA from 1 species